GGAAUCUGAUGCAUUGAUGCCGCGUGAGUGAAGAAGGCCUUUGGGUUGUAAAGCUCUUUUGUAGGGGAAGAUAAUGACUGUACCCUAAGAAUAAGGUCCGGCUAACUUCGUGCCAGCAGCCGCGGUAAUACGAAGGGACCUAGCGUAGUUCGGAAUUACUGGGCGUAAAGCGCGCGUAGGCCGUUGAGUUAGUUAAUUGUGAAAUCCCAAAGCUUAACUUUGGAACUGCAAUUAAAACUGCUCGACUAGAGUUUGAUAGAGGAAAGCGGAAUACAUAGUGUAGAGGUGAAAUUCGUAGAUAUUAUGUAGAACACCUGUUGCGAAGGCGGCUUUCUGGGUCAACACUGACGCUGAGGCGCGAAAGUAUGGGUAGCAAAGAGGAUUAGAUACCCUCGUAGUCCAUACCAUAAACGAUGAUUGCUAGAUGUUGGAAAUUUAUUUUCAGUAUCGCAGCUAACGCAUUAAGCAAUCCGCCUGGGGAGUACGACCGCAAGGUUAAAACUCAAAUGAAUUGACGGGGACCCGCACAAGCGGUGGAGCAUGUGGUUUAAUUCGAAGAUACGCGCAGAACCUUACCAACCCUUGACAUGUCUGUCGCGAGUUUAGGAAACUAGACUUUUCGGUUCGGCCGGACAGAACACAGGUGCUGCAUGGUUGUCGUCAGCUCGUGUCGUGAGAUGUUG
rnacentral:rRNA from 1 species